GCUGGGUGUGGCUCAGUGGUAGAGCACUUGCUUAGCAUGUGUGAGGCACUGGGUUUGAUUCUCAGCACUGCA
rnacentral:tRNA from 1 species